rnacentral:rRNA from 1 species
AUUGAACGCUGGCGGCAGGCCUAACACAUGCAAGUCGAGCGCGAAAGGCCUUCGGCUGAGUAGAGCGGCGGACGGGUGAGUAACGCGUAGGAAUCUACCUGGUAGUGGGGGACAACUUGGGGAAACUCAAGCUAAUACCGCAUACGCCCUAUGGGGGAAAGUGGGGGACCUUCGGGCCUCACGCUAUCAGAUGAGCCUGCGUAGGAUUAGCUAGUUGGUGAGGUAAAGGCUCACCAAGGCGACGAUCCUUAGCUGGUCUGAGAGGAUGAUCAGCCACACUGGGACUGAGACACGGCCCAGACUCCUACGGGAGGCAGCAGUGGGGAAUAUUGCGCAAUGGGGGCAACCCUGACGCAGCCAUGCCGCGUGUGUGAAGAAGGCCUCGGUU